CAGGAAUGGGGAGGGGGUGUGGAGGAAGAAGGCGCAGGAAUGGGGAGGGCGUGUGGAGGAAGAAGGCGCAGGAAUGGGGAGAGGGCGUGGAGGAAGAAGGCGCAGGAAUGGGGAGAGGGCGCGUGGAGGAAGAAGGCGCAGGAAUGGGGAGAGGGCGUGUGGAGGAAGAAGGCGCAGGAAUGGGGAGAGGGCGUGGAGGAAGAAGGCGCAGGAAUGGGGAGAGGGCGUGUGGAGGAAGAAGGCGCAGGAAUGGGGAGAGGGCGUGGAGGAAGAAGGCGCAGGAAUGGGGAGAGGGCGUGGAGGAAGAAGGCGCAGGAAUGGGGAGAGGGCGUGUGGAGGAAGAAGGCGCAGGAAUGGGGAGAGGGCGUGGAGGAAGAAGGCGCAGGAAUGGGGAGAGGGCGUGGAGGAAGAAGGCGCAGGAAUGGGGAGAGGGCGUGGAGGAAGAAGGCGCAGGAAUGGGGAGAGGGCGUGUGGAGGAAGAAGGCGCAGGAAUGGGGAGAGGAGGAAUGGGGAGAGGGCGUGGAGGAAGAAGGCGCA
rnacentral:lncRNA from 1 species